rnacentral:rRNA from 1 species
GUGGGGAAUAUUGGACAAUGGGCGCAAGCCUGAUCCAGCAAUGCCGCGUGGGUGAAGAAGGCCUUCGGAUUGUAAAGCACUUUAAGUUGGGAGGAAGGGCAGUAAGUUAAUACCUUGCUGUUUUGACGUUACCGACAGAAUAAGCACCGGCUAACUUCGUGCCAGCAGCCGCGGUAAUACGAAGGGUGCAAGCGUUAAUCGGAAUUACUGGGCGUAAAGCGCGCGUAGGUGGUUUUGUAAGUUGGAGGUGAAAUCCCCGGGCUCAACCUGGGAACUGCCUCCAAAACUGCAUGACUAGAGUACGGUAGAGGGUAGUGGAAUUUCCUGUGUAGCGGUGAAAUGCGUAGAUAUAGGAAGGAACACCAGUGGCGAAGGCGACUACCUGGACUGAUACUGACACUGAGGUGCGAAAGCGUGGGGAGCAAACAGGAUUAGAAACCCUAGUAGUCC